AAAACCCAUCACCUCUCUUCUUAGAAACUAGGAAGGAAGCUGCUCAUUUGAGAGUACACAUACAUGUGAGAUGUGAUUGAGAGUGAUAUCAUAUUAUCUGAUUUAACCUGAAGAAAUCUGCCAAGAAAUGAAGCAAGCUCUACUGAUUGUGAUGUGUAUCAAUGCCUUUAUGUGGACUGUGUUUGCAGUGACCGGUCACGUAAAGAUAGAUUGUUGUACGAAAUACGUAAAAAUUCCUCCCAUUGGGAGACUGAAGAAUUAUAAAAUACAAAAGGAUGAUGGUCGCUGCGUUAUCGAAGCUGUGAAAUUCUACACUGUAAGAAACAAAACUCGCUGCGGUGAUCCACACAAUAAACAAAUAAAGCGUCUCGUGGAACAACUUCGGGUCAAAGUUUGAAACCAAGAGUAGACAUGGAUCUUUCGUGGCAGGAUAUGGAACCAAAUGAAUGUUGGCGGCAUAAAGCCAAAAAACUAUUUCCCUUAAGUUUCUGCUUUUACCCUCAGAACCAAAUAUAUCGGGGGCACAAUUUUAUAUUUUUGGCUUACGCUUCAAUUAAAUACUUUGCUACCUAUUGAUAUGAAGUGCUUCAGUAAGUUUAAACAGUUGGCUUGUAAUAUUUUAACAAGAAUGGCACAAGAAAUGUGCAUUGUAUCUAGGGGCUGAUGAUCAUCUUAAUUGUACAUCUCUUAUGAAAUUAAUGGAAUUCUGUUGAAUGGAAAAUGUAAUUAAAAUGUAAUUGAAAUUACAAGGAAAAA